UACGGAGGGUGCGAGCGUUAAUCGGAAUUAUUGGGCGUAAAGCGCGCGCAGGCGGUUUCUUAAGUCUGAUGUGAAAGCCCACGGCUCAACCGUGGAGGGUCAUUGGAAACUGGGGAACUUGAGUGCAGAAGAGAAAAGCGGAAUUCCACGUGUAGCGGUGAAAUGCGUAGAGAUGUGGAGGAACACCAGUGGCGAAGGCGGCUUUUUGGUCUGUAACUGACGCUGAGGCGCGAAAGCGUGGGGAGCAAACAGG
rnacentral:rRNA from 1 species